rnacentral:rRNA from 1 species
AUGAACGCUAGCUACAGGCUUAACACAUGCAAGUCGAGGGGCAGCAUGGUCUUAGCUUGCUAAGGCCGAUGGCGACCGGCGCACGGGUGAGUAACGCGUAUCCAACCUGCCUUACACUCUUGGACAGCCUUCUGAAAGGGAGAUUAAUACAAGAUGUUAUCAUGAGUAAGCAUUUUCGCAUGAUUAAAGGUUUACCGGUGUAAGAUGGGGAUGCGUUCCAUUAGAUAGUAGGCGGGGUAACGGCCCACCUAGUCUUCGAUGGAUAGGGGUUCUGAGAGGAAGGUCCCCCACAUUGGAACUGAGACACGGUCCAAACUCCUACGGGAGGCAGCAGUGAGGAAUAUUGGUCAAUGGACGAGAGUCUGAACCAGCCAAGUAGCGUGAAGGAUGAAGGUUCUAUGGAUUGUAAACUUCUUUUAUACGGGAAUAAACGAAUCCACGUGUGGAUUUUUGCAUGUACCGUAUGAAUAAGGAUCGGCUAACUCCGUGCCAGCAGCCGCGGUAAUACGGAGGAUCCGAGCGUUAUCCGGAUUUAUUGGGUUUAAAGGGAGCGUAGAUGGGUUGUUAAGUCAGUUGUGAAAGUUUGCGGCUCAACCGUAAAAUUGCAAUUGAUACUGGCAGUCUUGAGUACAGUUGAGGUAGGCGGAAUUCGUGGUGUAGCGGUGAAAUGCUUAGAUAUCACGAAGAACUCCGAUUGCGAAGGCAGCUUACUAACCUGUAACUGACAUUGAUGCUCGAAAGUGUGGGUAUCAAACAGGAUUAGAUACCCUGGUAGUCCACACGGUAAACGAUGAAUACUCGCUGUAGGCGAUAUACAGUCUGCGGCCAAGCGAAAGCAUUAAGUAUUCCACCUGGGGAGUACGCCGGCAACGGUGAAACUCAAAGGAAUUGACGGGGGCCCGCACAAGCGGAGGAACAUGUGGUUUAAUUCGAUGAUACGCGAGGAACCUUACCCGGGCUUAAAUUGCAACCGAAUAUGGCGGAAACGCUAUAGCUAGCAAUAGCGGUUGUGAAGGUGCUGCAUGGUUGUCGUCAGCUCGUGCCGUGAGGUGUCGGCUUAAGUGCCAUAACGAGCGCAACCCUUGCCGAUAGUUACUAACAGGUUAUGCUGAGGACUCUGUCGGGACUGCCAUCGUAAGAUGUGAGGAAGGUGGGGAUGACGUCAAAUCAGCACGGCCCUUACGUCCGGGGCUACACACGUGUUACAAUGGGGGGUACAGAGGGCUGCUACCACGCAAGUGGAUGCCAAUCCCAAAAACCUCUCUCAGUUCGGAUUGAAGUCUGCAACCCGACUUCAUGAAGCUGGAUUCGCUAGUAAUCGCGCAUCAGCCACGGCGCGGUGAAUACGUUCCCGGGCCUUGUACACACCGCCCGUCACACCAUGAGAGUUGGCAACACCCGAAGUCAGUAGUCUAACCGCAAGGAGGACGCUGCCGAAGGUGGGGUCGAUGAUUGGGGUG